rnacentral:rRNA from 1 species
UACGUAGGGCGCAAGCGUUAUCCGGAAUUAUUGGGCGUAAAGAGCUCGUAGGCGGUUUGUCGCGUCUGGUGUGAAAAUCCAGGGCUUAACCCUGGACCUGCAUCGGGUACGGGCAGACUAGAGUGCGGUAGGGGGAGAUCGGAAUUCCGUGGUGUAGCGGUGAAAUGCGCAGAUAUCAGGAGGAACACCAAUAGCGAAGGCAGCUCGCUGGGACGGUAUUGACGCUAAGGCGCGAAAGCGUGGGGAGCAAACAGG